CGUGUGUGCGUGUAGGAGUGCAGUGACUACCCGGGCUUUGUGACGAUAUUCCGAGUCGCUCAGACGCCCGGCAAGCACGACCGCCUCGACUACGAGAACUACCGACACGUCUGCCACAAGUGGCACUUCAAGAUCACCAAGGCACUCGUCAUCUGCCUUGAAUCGGAGGACUACACACAGAUCCGCAACGCGCUGAUCGUGCUGACAAAGAUCCUGCCUCACUACCCGCGCGUCACCAACCUGGGGCAGGCGCUCGAGCGACGCGUCGAGAAGAUACGCACCAAGGAGAAAGACAAGCGACCAGACCUUUACGCGCUCGCCACGAGUUACUAUGGACAACUGAAGCUGAAGAGCAACACGUUCACACCUGAGAACGAGUUCCAUUACAAGGAGAAGGUGAGU